rnacentral:rRNA from 1 species
UACGUAGGGGGCAAGCGUUGUCCGGAUUCAUUGGGCGUAAAGAGCGUGUAGGCGGCCAGGUAGGUCGGUUGUGAAAACUGGAGGCUCAACCUUCAGAGGUCGACCGAAACCAUCUGGCUAGAGUCCGGGAGAGGGUCGUGGAAUUCCCGGUGUAGCGGUGAAAUGCGUAGAGAUCGGGAGGAACACCAGCGGCGAAGGCGGCGACCUGGACAGGUACUGACACUCAACUACGAAAGCGUGGGGAGCAAACAGG